GUCCUGAUGCUCCAGUCUAUGCUGAUUUGAGACAAUACAUUGGAAGUUAAAAUGAAUUUGAUAACAUGACAAAUUUGACAUUUGCAACAUGCAUUGAGCUAGGACUGCUUUUUUCCUCAACUAUUGGAGUGUAUGGUAUUCAUAUUCAAUUUACAUCUCACUCACACCAAGUGCACUUUUGUCCUGGUUGGGUGACUACCCAAACGAUUUGGGUGUUUCAUACUAGAUUACACAUUUUAAGCACCCAUCACUUUGCACUUUACAUUUUGGAAGAGUUGCAAAAGGUUUCAAAGUUGUAAAAUUUGAAAAUGGCAGGUGUGACAAGUGUAGCAAAAUUAAACAGGAGUUUUGCAGGUGUUUGGCACUUAUUGGAUUUCAGAAAUUGCAAAUGGUUAGCUGCAUGUAUGACAAUUAUGCCUCUUUUCCACUGAGUGGAUCAGUAUGCU